CUUCGCAACCCGCGCCUCUCUCUCAGCCGUUGGAGGUCUUGCUGGUGGCGGCCGUCGUGCAGCCGCCAUCAGUGGCUCCCCUGCAGACGCCGUCACUUUCUCCCUUGCAGAAGUUCCCAAAGCAUAUCCCAAUCCACCUGUUGAUGAGAAUGUACUCAAGUCCAAGGAAGCCAUGUGGGCCUUCUAUGAGCACUGGUGCAAGUUUCAUGGCAUAUCGCGUGACCGUCGUGAGAUGGCCCGUCGGUUCAAGACAUUUAGUGAUAACGCAAGGCGUGUUUACGAGUUCAACAAUUCCAACUGCCGUGGCAGUCUGGCAAUGAACCCUCUGUCAGAUGCGACAACGGAGGAGAUCAAGAUGAGAAAUGGAUAUAGGCGGCGUACAAAAAAAUGAUCGCACCCCUUCCUGAUGUACUCUUGUGUGAGCCCUUAAGCCUUAAGUUAUGCUUCUGUGUACCAAGACAUGCCUCUUAAGUUCCUAGCAGUACUGUGUGUUGCAAAAAAAUGAUCUCAGCCUUUUCUGAUGUACUCUUGUGUAAGCCCUUAAGCCUUAAGGUAUGCUUGGUACCAAGACAUGCCUCUUAAGUUCCUAGCAGUUCUAUGUGCUGCUUUGUUGCAUGAACAUUUUAACUUUAAAUAGAAGUCUAUAUCAUGUAUAUUGGACAAUUAUCUAUCUCUUUGAUGUA